rnacentral:piRNA from 1 species
UGGUUGUUUUUGAGAAGCCUACACUAGCCC